rnacentral:rRNA from 1 species
UACGUAGGGUCCGAGCGUUGUCCGGAAUUACUGGGCGUAAAGAGCUCGUAGGUGGUUUGUCGCGUUGUUCGUGAAAACUCACAGCUCAACUGUGGGCGUGCGGGCGAUACGGGCAGACUGGAGUACUGCAGGGGAGACUGGAAUUCCUGGUGUAGCGGUGAAAUGCGCAGAUAUCAGGAGGAACACCGGUGGCGAAGGCGGGUCUCUGGGCCGAUACUGACGCUGAGGAGCGAAAGCAUGGGGAGCGAACAGG